CUUCCUCGAUCUGCUGCGGGCAGAUGAAAUGGAUGUGGCUGUCGAUGCCGCCUGCGGUGACGAUGUUGCCUUCGCAGCUGAUCACCUCGGUGCCGGGCCCGAUCACGAUGUCGACGCCCGGCUGCGUGUCCGGGUUGCCGGACUUGCCGAUCGCCACGAUGCGCCCGCCCGAGAGGCCGAUGUCCGCCUUCACCACGCCCCAGUGGUCGAGGAUCAGCGCAUUGGUCAUCACGGUGUCGACCGCGCCUUGGCUACGGCUUCGCUGCGAUUGCGCCAUGCCGUCGCGGAUG
rnacentral:sRNA from 1 species